UUCACAACUGAUAUUCGAUAUGUGAACGGUUCCGAGAACGUAGUUGCGGACUGCUUAUCGCGCAUAGAGACUGUAACGAACAUCGACUA